rnacentral:rRNA from 1 species
AGCUACUGCCAUGCCACCCUGAACAAGCCCAAUCCCGUCUGAUUUCAGAAGCUAAGCAGGGUGGGGCCUGGUUAGUACUUGGAUGGGAGACCACCUAGGAAGACCAGGUGCUAUAGGUG